rnacentral:rRNA from 1 species
UACGUAGGGUGCGAGCGUUAAUCGGAAUUACUGGGCGUAAAGCGUGCGCAGGCGGUCUGUUAAGACCGAUGUGAAAUCCCCGGGCUUAAACCUGGGAACUGCAUUGGUAGACUGGCAGGCUUUGAGUGUGGCAGAGGGAGGUAGAAUUCCACGUGUAGCAGUGAAAUGCGUAGAGAUGUGGAGGAAUACCGAUGGCGAAGGCAGCCUCCUGGGCCAACACUGACGCUCAUGCACGAAAGCGUGGGGAGCAAACAGG